GCGGAUAUAGUUUAUCGGUAAAACAUUAGCUUCCCAAGCUGAGGUGGUGGGUUCGACUCCCAUUAUCCGCUCCA
rnacentral:tRNA from 4 species